rnacentral:rRNA from 1 species
GACGAACGCUGGCGGCGUGUUUAACACAUGCAAGUCGAACGGUAAGGCCCUUCGGGGUACACGAGUGGCGAACGGGUGAGUAACACGUGGGUGAUCUGCCCUGCACUUCGGGAUAAGCCUGGGAAACUGGGUCUAAUACCGGAUAGGACCACUGCCUGCAUGGGUGGUGGUGGAGAGCUUUUGCGGUGUGGGAUGGGCCCGCGGCCUAUCAGCUUGUUGGUGGGGUGAUGGCCUACCAAGGCGACGACGGGUAGCCGGCCUGAGAGGGUGACCGGCCACACUGGGACUGAGAUACGGCCCAGACUCCUACGGGAGGCAGCAGUGGGGAAUAUUGCACAAUGGGCGCAAGCCUGAUGCAGCGACGCCGCGUGAGGGAUGACGGCCUUCGGGUUGUAAACCUCUUUCAGCACCGACGAAGCGCAAGUGACGGUAGGUGCAGAAGAAGGACCGGCCAACUACGUGCCAGCCGCCGCCGUAA